rnacentral:rRNA from 1 species
UACAGGGGGUGCAAACGUUGCUCGGAAUCAUUGGGCGUAAAGCGCACGUAGGCGGUUUGUUAUGUCGGAUGUGAAAGCCCUUGGCUCAACUGAGGAAGUGCAUCCGAAACUGGCAAGCUAGAGUACUAAAGAGGGUCGCGGAAUUCCCGGUGUAGAGGUGAAAUUCGUAGAUAUCGGGAGGAAUACCAGUGGCGAAGGCGCUGUCCUGGACGAAGAUUGACGCUGAGGCACGAAAGCGUGGGGAGCAAACAGG